GACGAACGCUGGCGGCGUGCCUAAUACAUGCAAGUUGAGCGAUGAAGAUUGGUGCUUGCACCAAUUUGAAGAGCAGCGAACGGGUGAGUAACGCGUGGGGAAUCUGCCUUUGAGCGGGGGACAACAUUUGGAAACGAAUGCUAAUACCGCAUAACAACUUUAAACAUAAGUUUUAAGUUUGAAAGAUGCAAUUGCAUCACUCAAAGAUGAUCCCGCGUUGUAUUAGCUAGUUGGUGAGGUAAAGGCUCACCAAGGCGAUGAUACAUAGCCGACCUGAGAGGGUGGUCGGCCACAUUGGGACUGGGGCACGGCCCAAACUCCUACGGGAGGCAGCAGUAGGGGAUCUUCGGCAAUUGACGAAAGUCUGACCGAGCAACGCCGCGUGAGUGGAGAAGGUUUUCGGAGCGUAAAACUCUGUUGGUAGAGAAGAACGUUGGUGAGAGUGGAAAGCUCAUCAAGUGACGGUAACUACCCAGAAAGGGACGGCUAACUACGUG
rnacentral:rRNA from 1 species